CGCGUAGGCGGCCCUUCAAGUCAGGCGUGAAAGCCCCGGGCUCAACCUGGGAGGUGCGCUUGGGACUGGAGGGCUGGAGUUCGGGAGAGGAGCGUGGAAUUCCCAGUGUAGAGGUGAAAUUCGUAGAUAUUGGGAAGAACACCAGUGGCGAAGGCGGCGCUCUGGACCGAGACUGACGCUGAGGCGCGAAAGCGUGGGGAGCAAACA
rnacentral:rRNA from 1 species